AUUUGAAAUCAGGUGCCUUUGUGAGCUCGCUCUUCUACAUAGAGCUGCAUCUGGAGAGAGAAACAAGCAACAGUCCUGUUGGUGCACAGUACUUUUGCCCAGGUCCCUGGUCUGAGCUCACCUUCUCCAGCAGCGGCUUUACACAGUGCAGCGUGUCCUGGAUGUACUGGUUCAGCUCUGGGUGGCAGGACAUCUGCAGCAAACACAGGGAACAGUCAGAGUUGUGUUUGAUAUGAGCCAGGAAAAUGCUAAAAGGGGAAGAUUUAAACAGAAGCACCAGUGUGUACAAGGCAUUCAAGUCAUGCUUCAAAUAGUGCUGAAAAAGGUUGAGUUGCCCAUUCUAACCAGCAAUUCUUUCAGCUGAGGCAGAUCACUGCACCAACACAGUUGUGUAUCUGGAAUGUAUUCCCACAACAGCAUAUUGGGAAUAGCAUAUUCCAACCAUCUCUGCUUCCUAGGAAACUGUUUUUUCAGGGAACUGUGCUUUCCUGUUACCUCACUGCACAGAGCUGGGGCAGCCUUCUACUGCUGUUAUGUGACCUGCUUGUUCCAUGAGCACCUGCUGUAUCCUCAGCUGUGGGGCUGCUCUCUGUUAUCACAAGAAUUAAGCUCUCCUCAAAAAUAAGUCUGUACAUUAAACAAUCACUUCCAGAGUGUAAGUUU